rnacentral:rRNA from 1 species
AUGUGGCUGAUUUGCUGGUUACGGUUGUACCCACAACCUACAGAGACGAAUCGAGCGUUAGAGAGAGAGCAGGACAGAGGAGAGGGGAGAGGAAGCGGUGGCUUACCACCUACACCUGACCUGCGCAGGGGAGGGGAGCUAGAAGAGCCGCAACAUCUUCUCCAUGGGAUGGGCCUGCACACAAUCACGCAUCAGAGGAAGAUGAAAACCAGAGGAAGAAGAAGAAGAAGAAAAGUGCCAGCUCGAGCUCCGACGGCCCAGGUUGAUCCAGAUGUUGAUCCGACGUCCAAAAACGCAUCAAGCAAACCGAUCCAACGGCUGAAAGUCACUGACCUCUGA